GAUGAACGCUGGCGGCGUGCCUAAUACAUGCAAGUCGAGCGGUAAGGCCCCUUCGGGGGUACACGAGCGGCGGACGGCUGAGUAACACGUAGGAACGUACCCCAAAGUGAGGGAUAAGCACCAGAAAUGGUGUCUAAUACCGCAUGUGCUCUAAGGAGUAAAGCUUCGGCGCUUUGGGAACGGCCUGCGCAUGAUUAGCUUGUUGGUGAGGUAAUGGCUCACCAAGGCGACGAUCAUUAGCUGGUCUGAGAGGAUGAUCAGCCACACUGGGACUGAGACACGGCCCAGACUCCUACGGGAGGCAGCAGUGGGGAAUAUUGGACAAUGGGCGCAAGCCUGAUCCAGCAAUGCCGCGUGAGUGAUGAAGGCCUUAGGGUUGUAAAGCUCUUUCGCACGCGACGAUGAUGACGGUAGCGUGAGAAGAAGCCCCGGCUAACUUCGUGCCAGCAGCCGCCGUAAAAC
rnacentral:rRNA from 1 species